GAGGGGGAUCUGAUUGAAACUGCAGCCCUUGAAAUCACUUGGUUUACCAAUUCGUCUCCUGUAAAAUCAAAGGAUCAAAAACUCCUUCAAACCAGAGCGCAGAAGCCUUUGGCCAGUAAUGAAUAAUAGCAAACCAAUCCCUUUUAGGUCUCCCUGUGCAUGAGGGUGUUUUAGCAGAGAAUCUGUGCCAUGGCUAGGCGUCCCUGAGCUGGGAGCUGUGACUGUGUUUCUGUGGAUCUGGGCUCUGAUCACAGAAGCCACUUUUUAAGGUCCCAACAUGAGCUCAGACCACUCAGUUCAUCCUUGCUGUGGCAUCAAGGGGUGAAAAAACAGGAUUUCUAAAGCAUCUUGACAGCCCUUGAGAUCCUUGGGAUUUUUCUCUUGCUCUCUUCCACAAGAAAUAUAUUGUAUAGUGUAGUAGUUGUUCCAUAAAACUUUUGUCCCUUGGGUGUCCCUUAGGCAAUGACAGUUUUGUGAGCCAGCCCCUGCUGGACUUUGCAGAAUGCAGCCCAGGUCCUGUGAAAAUCAACCACAACAUUAGUUGAUUAUUAGAGGACUCUGCAGUUCUCCAGAAUGAAUUGGUGGCUUCCGUGUAAGCUCAACUGGGGAAGUCUUUGUAGGAGGAAAGACCAACCUCAUCACUUAUCUGUGGAAAACUGUAGGACUGCAAGGAGUUAAUGCAGUCUUGUUCUUUCUGAGAAGUGGUCACGACUGACAUAAGGAGUCUGCCAAGGUCAGGACCUUAGAAAAUAAAAUAUCUACCAUUUAAACUCAGGCAAACAGCAGACUCUUCCCUAUACCAACAAACGCAACCUUGACAGCCACUCCUUGAAUGUUUAUAAUGUCUAUAUUAGGAGCCAGAUAUAACGUGGCAAUGAAUGGCCUUAUACUUAGGACUUGGGAGACACUGGGGGGUCUGUGUGGGGCACUAUGAACCAAAAUCCAGUGUUUGCACCAAACUCAUUUCCUUGGCUUCCCAGAAGCACUGUGAUUCCAGUUCCAGUGGCUUUGGGGUAAUCUGAGCCCUUCUGGAAACCCAGCAUAGCCCUCCUGCACAACAGCGAAGGAUUCUUCACAACAGGAGCCCUACGGGACUUGCUCAACAAGAGAGGUGUUCUGCACUGGUUUGGGUUUUUAUCCGAGUGUAUGUGAGCAGUGUUAUGCCUUGUGAUGCUGUUACAACAACACCAUCCAGGGAAAGCUCUUAGAGAAGUAGACUUUUCCUUCAGUCAUCAGUGGAUGUUUGCUACCGCUGUAAGUUGACAGUGCUGAAGCACUACUUUGUCUGCAAAGCAAGAGUGAUCAGUAGUAAACUUCUCUGAGAGUGCCUCCAGGUACUCUCCACACAGUAUUUCUUAUUUUUUAUGGUGUCAUUUAUGAUUAAAAAUACCCAGGCAAUCAUCUCAAACAAGCCAGCCAGGUUCAGUUUUACCUGAGAGCUGUCAGAGGUUGAUCUAUAAGAUCCCACUGCAGGAACAAUACUACUGAAAUGUAAUACAAAGCUAACACAAAUUAAACAUCUUAGACACAGAUGGAAACUGUGAAACCUUUAAAUCUCAAAGAAGUCCUUCAACUUGAAUUUUUUUCCAAAUCGAUUAUGUGAUUAUUGGAUAAAUAAACUAUGUGAUUGUUCAGCACAUAAACACCCUUUGUUAAAUGUGUCCGUCAAUAGACAAUUCAUAUAAAUGAUACUAACUAUCAUCAAAGGAGUAAUAACGCCUUUAUUGAUGAAUAAAUCUCUAAAAGACAGAUCAAAUGGAGGUUAACUAGCCAUGCAUGACAUUAGCAGGAAUUAGUCUGAGAAGAGCCUUGCGGGCAUGUUAGCUACUGCUGUACGUGGGGUGGGAAGCAGUGUGGGCCACACUUCAUGGCAGUACCUGCAAGGUCAAAAGCCUGACCCUUGCCAAAACCAUGCUGGUUUCCUUACCUUAUAUAGCCUGGCACCAUUAUUUCUGUUUCGUAUUUCUCCAUCGCUUUGUGUGAAGGCUUUUUUUCAAGGAGCCUCUUUUAGCAUUUCUAAAGUAACAUGGAGGCUGAAGCCCCAAGGCUGUACCCAAAGUUCAUAUAAGGUGUCAGAUAUGGAUAUAAAUUACUGCUCUACUGCUUUAAAAACCUGGGGCUAUGACAGGACUGAGCUCCACAGACAAGAGCUCAGAAAAAAAUCUCAAGAGCAGCAACUAAUAUGAAGUAAAAAUUGACAAAAGUGGGGGGGAAAAAGCAAAAAAAGAGUCUUGAAUUGAGUGAUAGAACAGUAAGUGGGUGGGAAGGACAAUAUUCAAGUGCCAGAAAAUGAUACUCUAUUGUUAUCUUAGCAUAUAUGACUCUUUCGGACAGUACUCCAGAGGUGCUUUCCGGCUGCAGUUCUGUUUGGAGCAUCUAAUAGCGUGAUAGUGGGAAGCUUUCUGCCUUGCAGAAACUGCAGCAAAGCCCUCCUGGUGCCUGAACCCAGGAACACAUAAAUGGUUGGUGGUGGACCAGCAGAGAGACACCACCACCCAACUGCUGCCACCCACCCACGCACAGCAGUAUUGGACCUGCAGACAAACACCACGACCCAACUGCUUCCACCUACCAUGCACUUACCCAUGUUCCUGCUGCUUUUUUUCCAUUUUUCCCCUAAUUCAGCUUACUUCUGCCUUGCUCCUUCCCACUGCAGGGCAGCCUGGCAUCCCAGUGCUCUGUUGGAAGGCAUUCGGCUGUGAUGCACCGUCUUAAGCAAACACUGCUAACUCCUCUAAUAGUCAUUUGUGUGAGGCUAGCGGCUAGCUUUUACCUUUUCUGUGGAGAUAUAUUACAACCUAUAAUAAGCAAUGAGCUCUUUUUCCCACAUAAGAUGAAAUCAAUGCACAUUAGAAUAGUUAGGUUUGGAAUUACAUAGCAUAUUAAUGACCCCCUUGGAAACUGCUUGUGAUGAAAGCUGGCUGGAUAAACCGUUUUUCUAUUAACAGAGUUCCCAAAUAGGACAUCAGGGUGGCUUUUGGGUGGAAUUCAACCAUAGCAUCUGGAAUGUCUGUAGGUAGGAUUCUGUUGCUUAGCCAGUGCUCCAGGGUCAUGUAGAGUCCCAGGUUUCUAGUCAAUGGAAAGGAAGGCCCAUUUUAUGCUGUGUAUGUGUCAUUGUAUCCCUCUGUUGAUUGUGGAGGCAUUCCAGCACCAUCAGUUCAGAUCUUGCUGUUCACACUGUUGUUGUGGUUAGCUCAGCUGAGUCUCACCCUUGAUGCCAGAGGAAUUUUGUUACAGCUUUCCCUGGUGCUUAAGUGCUCUCCCACAUCUUACAUGGACUUUUUUUGCUUAGACUUUUGCCCUCUGGAGCUUGCAUUCAUUGCUCUUUGCAUACCCAAGGCACCAGACACUUGUUAACUGAAGCCACCAGCUUGGCAGCGAAGUAUGAGAACGAUGGGGGUGCAGCAGCCUCUCUUUCAGUAGAUAAUACAGAGCAAGAGACAAUCAUGGAAAUGACAGCACAGGAACAUAGCACUGAAGUUAGGCAAGUGAAGGUGGAACGAGCUGUAUUGGAAAGAAACGUAAGCUGUGAAAUUCAAAUAUUUAGGUACUUUAGAAAAACUCCCUUGAAGACCUAAGCAAUCAUGAGAGAUAACAAUUUAAUGGCCCUGAAGACUCAUAAUCUGAAACUAUGCACAGCAGGCAAAAUUAUCCCUACCUUUCUUCAGCCCUGCAAACCUGGGAGCAGGAUUAUGCAGUAUAGGACCACAUAUUAUAUCCUAUAUUAUAGGACCACAGAAUCAUUAAGGUUGGAAAAGACCUGUAAGACCACCGAACACAACCUGUUCAUUGGAACAGGUUGCCCAAGGAGGUUGUGGAUGCCCCAUCCCUGGAGGCAUUCAAGGCCAGACUGGAUGUGGCUCUGGGCAGCCUGGUCUGGUGGUUGGUGACCCUGCACACAGCAGGGGGGUUGAAACUGGAUGAUCAUUGUGGUCCUUUUCAACCUGGGCCAUUCUAUGAUUCUGUGAUUCUAUGAUCGAGUCCAACUACCAACCCACCUCCACCAUGUCUACUAACCAUGGCCCUCAUUGCCACAUCUCCAUGUUUUUUUAGUACCUCCAGGGAGGACACCUCCCUGGGCAGCCUGUUCCAGUGCAUUACCUCUCUUUCUGAGAAGAAAUUUUUCCUAAUGCCCAACACAGACAUUUGUACCUGAGCUAGGGACACGGGGCUCUCCUUGCUGUCUGUGAAGCAUUUCUGAAGCACAGCUCAUCUGAGCGGUUUGGGAUAUUUGUUCUCACAUGUUUUAACAACACAAAGCUGGUAAUGUUAUUGUUAGGAAUAUUUUAAUUAAUAUUGCUUAUUAAUCAGAUAGAUAUUAGAUAUAAUAGCAUACAGAUCCCUCACACUUCAGGAUAUCACUCAGAACCAAACCCAAAGCUCGAUUUCUGGGAUCUAAACACCAAAUUGCAUUUCUCUAGAAAUUCAACAGUAGUUACAUAUUGGAAUUUUGGACUCUGUUCAGAUACCAGCUUUUAUGAUGCUACUUACCCUAAAGCAAGCGAUAAUGAUUUUAUGUAAAUUAUCCUCCUACCAGCUGGUAAACAAUGCAAUAUGAAGGCUCACCAUACCAUGCUUUUCCUGAUCCUGACUGAUCCCUGUUUGAGGCCCUAUUAACACAGACAACAUUUUGUUUUCCCACAGGAGCUGCUUGGCGGACAAUUAGUUAAAUCCACUGCUCUAAUCGUGUGGAUUUGUUUUGGAGCAAGGCAGUCUCAUAAUACAAAAUGCCUAUUUCAGUUUGAACAAGCAGAUUUAUUAAACCUUUUACGUGCACACUGUGUAGCUUCCAUACACAAAAUUAAAAUCCAUCUGGAGUCAGGAGAAAAUACAUGCAAACUAAAUACUACAAGAGCAAUAAUAUUACUAGCUCUCAAGUCGAGCUUGCAGUCAGUGCAGUAUUUUAUUGUUAUUCAUAAGAAAACAAAAUAAUAAUAAUACUUUCUGCUCAUGGCUGGGUCCUGAUAUACUUCCAUAGCAAAGGCCAUCCUUUUCUAACAACUCUUGUGCCUGCUUUGCUUUCCAUGAUGAGCAAUGUUAACACUGUGUAAGGUUAUGCAAAACUGGGGCUGAGGAUUUCAUGGAGUCUAAGGAGUCAGGGCUGAUUUUGCAGCCAAGUCAACACUGGGCUGAGGCCUCCUGGUAUCUCCAGUAGUGCUGGUGGCCAUUACUCAGCUCACUUCCACCACUCCACCAUUUUGCCCUUCAAAAGUACUUACAAAAUCUGUUGCCCUGAGACAGAAGAAUAAUAAAAUUGUCCAUGUAAUUAUACUCCAGGACGACUUCAUUUAGCCUGAUUAAUUACACAGGUGUAGUAUCUAAUCCCCAAAUUUAGAACAGUGGCUGUGUUCUAAUUAUAUCCUCUGAUAGCUUAAUUCUCUCUUUAUAGCCCAGCUAAAAAUAGUUUGUCACAUUUUUGCUUUACUCUCCUUCCAAAGGGAAAUUUGGCACUUACUGUUAGAUUCCAUAGACAAUCCUAAUUGCUCCAGCAAGACUCCUGAGCCCUGCUCGGGGAAUCCAUUCCACCAGGCAAGGUACCACUCAGCAAUUCAGGGGCAGAUUUGCCCAAUCCUUCCACUGCACACAGGAAAGAUGCUUCUGGGAAAAAGAGAUCUGAACAUCAGUGAACACUUGGUGUGCUGGUUGUUUCUAUUUCCCUCUUGGAGAUGGUGAAAUGAUGUUGUCAGCCUGAGUGGCUUGACCUGGAUCGCAGAAAGAAUCAGUGUUGGGAAUAGAAGAGAAAACUAUCUGGUCUGAUUAUAAACUUCACCUCCUAAAUGAGAAAACUGAGGCAAAGCUGGAUGAAGGCACCAGUAGCCAUAUUUUUUCAUGUAUUUUCUGACCUAUUCUUCAUUCACAGUCUUCAGCACGUUUCAUCCUCAUAAACACACUUCUCUUUCAUAAACAGACUUCUCCAGUAACGACACCACUAUAACAGAAUAGUAUAUACAGGGAAAGACUUUUAGUAACAUCUGUAUAAAGACUUCUGAUAUACUCCAGAUAAAGAAGACAGCCUAAGGAUGCUACAUAACACCACAACUGUACUGAAUGUUGGCAAAGAAGAAUCAUACCCAGGGGGGUUAAACUGCUGUCAGGGGUUCAGCAGUCAAAGCCACAUUGAAUGUCUUUGGUGGGCGAUCAGACUCAAAAGCAAAGCUAGAGCAUUUGCAAACAGCAAACACCAUUUAUAGAGAUUACAUUUUAGCUGUAUGGCCAUUAUCUUAACACAGUCCAGCAAGAAAGACGGCGAUUCAACCAGGCACAACUGAAAACUGCCGAAUCAUCAGGUCUGGGCUGUGCCGAGUUGCUCUGCUGAAAAAGCUGUGCCUCGAUGGGCUCUGCUUACCACACUGCUUGCCCUUCCAGUGUCAGAGACGAUUCCACCUACUGUCUUCUCUUGGGAUCUGGCUGAAAAAAAUCUUCAAGAUUGCUUUGAGAAAUUGAAUGCUACCUGCAAGAUAGAGCUAAAAAAGGGCCUCGGUGCUUCUGAAAAAAUUUAAAAAAAAACAACAUGUGUUUCCAGUGUGGCUCUGGGGAGAUUCCUGGAGACUAUGACUGCAUUAACAUAACCAUGGGUUCCAUGGGGCUUUUUGAACCUGGGUAUACCUUCUUUGCAGCACAUUUGGUAGCGCUGCAGACCUGACUCACUGUACGUCCAUUGUGCUAUCCAUUUUCUAGAAGUCAGGCAUGAAAUGCAGGUGGAGACUUGCCCCCAAAGUCUGAUGAGGACCAAGUUACAUUUAGUUGCAAAAACAUUUAGUUGAGUCCAUUAUUACCAUUGUAAUACUGCUCUGGGGAAAGGACAGGUAAAGAAGAUGAGACAAGAAGGAAUAGAAAUUCAGUUCAGUGUCUUUAUUUCCCUUAUAAUGUGUCAUGUACCAUUCCGCUUGUUAUUUACUUGAAUAUAUAAUCAACUUACUGUGUAAGUGGCUAAUUGCUUUAUUUCAGUUCUGCUUCAUUCUGUCUCAUUAGGCCAAUUUACAGUUCUCAUCUUUUUUUGUAAUAAAUAAAAAGAACGAUGAUAAUAACAUCAGAAACAUGUUCAGUGCUUUCUAUCAUACUCUUUCUGCAUUAGAACUGCUGCAUCCACGUUUCAUUUCACAUCUCACUUUUGUUUACUGCACCACUGUACUUACAGCUGAUGUCUGUAUUCUGUUCUGAUGCAAAUGAUGAUGAGUGAUUUAGAAACAGCAGAACUGGGAAAGAAGAAAAAAAAAAUACCUGGCUGAGGGUGGAUAUGGACUUACUUAAGACCCAUUGAAGAUACAGCCUGAAAUUCUCAUUCCCCUUAAUCAAUAGGAGUCCUCCAGUGACCUCCAGAGAGUCGGCCUCUAAGGGACAUGGCUACUGACUGAGCCCAACUGACUGAUCUACUCAGUGCUCAUCUGUGGGCUGAGGAGAUGAAGACAAGUACUAGAGAAGUGGAAGAUUGGAGGUCUCAUCUCUGUCCACGUGCCAGAGCCCAGACCUGCCUUGUAUGAAACAGACGUUGAUAACCAAGGGGAAUGGAUGGCCAGACUGCAGAAGAGGAUAUCAGUUAGAGGACUGUGCAAACGAUACGGAGCGUUGGGUUUGUAUAGUAGAACUAGAAAUAUAAGAUAGUGAGCAGCAUGCCAGAUCAGCUUGCUAGAUUUUGGAAGACUCCAAAGUGUUAUAAUGAUAGAAGCUGCAGUGUGCACAACUCAAGGGAGAGUCUGUCAACUGCAAGUGCCCUGAUCCCACAGAAUCACUGAGCUACCUGGUUUUCAGGGAACUAAAUCAUUUGUAUAAUGUCAAAAAUUAAUAGCACAAAAGAAAAAAAUACAUAUGAAUGGCACAAACUCUGUUAAAGCGGUCUGAUCUCUCAUAAUUUUUUUUUAUUACGAGGUAAAUUAAGAAACACAGAAACAACACUAAAAACUUAUUCAGUAAUUUCAAAAUUUGACCUGAAUUUGACCUCAGACUGAACUAAGAAUGAACUGAUAAACACUUACACCUAUUAAGUUACAGCAAAAUCACCAGAUGAUGUUUGUUUUUUUUUCUGAACAUUUUUUCAGUCUUACCCAUAGCCCCAGAUUUUUGGGUCAGAUCUUGGUUGGAGAUAUGCCUGCACUGCCAAUCAGAAUUUGGGAAUCAUAGAAUGACUGGGGUUGGAAGAGACCUCAAGAUCACCCAGUUCCACUGUGUGCAGAGUUGCCAACCACAAAAUCAGGCACUAUAUCAGGCUGCCCAGGGCUCCAUCCAACUCGGCCUUUAGCAGUUCCAGGAAUUGGAAUCGCAGCUUCUCUGGGCAACCUCUGCUAAGGCUUCACAACAUCAUGGUAAUCACUAUCCAGGACAACAAAUACGUUGAACUCCUUCAAUGUGAAAUGGAGCAAGUAUCAACAUUUUGUAAUAAGGUGCUAACAAUAGUUUAUGAUUAUUUGCUGCAAAUUGUCUAACCCCUAGAGGCAGUUACCAUACUGUCCUCAAGAGUUUGGCAACGGCACAGCCUCAGUUCCUCAGUUUACCCAUCUUUUCUGCCUGUCAGAGACCAGUUGUCUAAUCUUAUCUUCUGCUUUCUUAGUAAGCCUAACGCUGUAGGAGUGAGACAGAAUUACAAACUGAUGUAUAGAUUUACAAACUGAUAAGUUUUCCUGAUGGUGAAGAGACGAUGAUGCAUGUCCGUACUCCUAGGCAGCUCUGUAGCUAUGCCAGGGACUUGACACUGUGCUCUAGCAGAAGAUUUUGGGGCUUUUUAUUUUCCCAUGAUAGAAGACGACUGUUUCUGUUCUCUCUGCAGUCUUAGGCCUCCAUCACCACUCUAACUUCACCCCUGGAAGUGUUCAAGAAACAUAAAUAUUAGGCACUGAGGAACAUGGUUAGUGAUCAUGGUGGGGAUGAAUGGGCUAGAGGAUCUUAGUGGUCUUUUCCAACUUUAAUGAUUCUUUUUAUGAUUCUACCAUAGUGAUGUAUUUUCUUUCUCUACAUAAGGACUAUGUCCUUAUUUUCUAAUCAGUUAAAAGAUAGAAGAGUAAUGGCUUUUGAAAUACACAUGGUAUACAAAAAUCUCCUGGCCAGGUCUUUGAUGGACAUCCAUAUGGUUCAACAGAGAUGAACAUGUUGGUAGAGCAUGUAGACUCUGACAGGACAUCCCAAUUCUAUUAAAAUUCAUGUCCUUUGAAAACCUAUCUCCAAAAUGAUUCUCACCCAAGAGCAAAGGAGAUUCAAGUUGGAUAUUAGAAAAAAUUUCAUCUCUGAAAGGGUCGUCAGGUGCUGGAAUGGGAUGCCCAGGGAGGCAGUUGAAUCACCAUUCCUGGAGGUAUCCAAGAAAUGUUUAGAUGCUGUACUAAGGGACAUGGCUUAGUGGGGAAGUAUUGGUGGUAAGUGGACAGUUGGACUGGAUGAUCUUGGGUAUCUCUUCCAACCUUGGUGAUUCAGUGAUUUGGUGAUUUUGCUAAAGACUGUGUAGGAACAGACUGGCUAUGAAGCAUUUACAGUUUAAAUACAGGGAUCAGGAUAUUAUACCUCCAAAGAUGAAGAUCUGAAAGUUAAUGAUCCAGAUUUCUUGUGUUGUGUUAGGGAUUGUUUCCAAGUUGCAAGGUUGAAUUCUGUGGCAACCCGAAGGGCAAGCAGUUACUCCAUUGUGCUUCAUAUAGAAGCAUCCAACCAGACUGAUGUUACCACAGACACGAGUAUAGGCCAAAGACAAGUUUUGAUGGCAGUUACAGAUUUCCAGCUCCACUGAUUAUCAUGUUCCAUCUAUUAAUUUCAACAAUAUGGAAAAAGAUACAAACUUUGCAAAUUGUGCAACUAUACACACUGAAAAAAAAUGUGUCUUUUAAAAUUCAGCCACCUGUGGGAAAGGAAUCAGAAGUAAUUCAACAGCAAAAACAAACAAACAAACAAACAAAAAACAUGUACAUCAAUAUAGCACAAAAAAUGAAUAAUCUCAUUCUCUGCAAAUUGGCUUGCCCCUUGUACUGUGUGGAUAUGAAAAGCAGUUGAAACCUCACUUUCACCAGCACAUUAUACAAGUACUCUCUUAUCUAGUGAGUGCCCUGUCCUCUAACUGCAAUUCUUUAAUGAACAGGAGAUGAAAUUCACAAUGAGGUCACAGGAACUGGAAGGUGGAACAACAUUUAACUGUGUUCUUAUAUGACAUCUCUGUUAUUACCAAAAGGGGAACAGUGAAAUCAAAUGGGAAAUUGAAGAGGAUAGAGGCAGGAGAGGGAAUAGUCCACAACAAACUGUGAAUCUUUACUUUUCCACUUUAAAUGAAUGAAACCAUAAACUUUAAUAGCGUUGGUGAAUGUGCCUUAUCAUUGACUGAAAAUCAGAUUUGGUAUCGAUUUGAUUUUUGGAAUAUUACUCAAUCAAGCACACUUAACUGCAGAAAUUUAGUAUUUUUAUAUCUUAAAAAAAUCAGUGCAAGCAAAUCUGCCAAGCCUCCCCCCUGGCUACAAGUCUAACAACUGUUGAAGGACAAAAGAUAAUAUAUGUGAAUACCAUUGCCAUGGUUCACUGGGUUAAAACAAACGGCCCCCAUUUGACCUUUAAAUUGAAGGGUUUCCCUUUAUAUCACUAGAGGCAAAAUGCAUGGACAUGAGUACAACAACAACAAAAAGGGGACGUGUGUAGCUGAGUUGUAUUUGAUUUGUGAGAUUUUUUAUUCGUUUUUAAGGGGAUAUUUUUUCAUUUCCUUUGGAGGGGAGUAAACCCAAAAGUCAAAUUGAUGAAGAGAAAUGGAAUCUGAAUCUGUCCUGGGUUACAUUCACUGCUGGUUGGUUGGUCACCCUGGGGGAAAUGAUAUGUGUGCAGCUGGGAUGAUGAAUUGGGUUUGUUUAAGUCAUCAUUACAUUGUACUUUUUUAUGGACCUUAGUAUUUAUAACACUUAAAGUUGAUUGAGUAAUGUGGGUUGCCUUGGCAUCCCCGCUGGUCAGCAGGGGUGACGGGCCUUGACAGCAAACAUGAAGAUAUUACUGCUCCAAGACUGGUCCAGGAUGUCGGGGUAAUCUUAAGCAAUCUGCUGCUUGCUCUUGUGUGUAAUGCACUGUUGAAAACUUUCCCUGUAAGUGCAUUUGAGUGCAUAUAUAUAGGCUUCUGUAUAUGUAUUUGGUGAAAAGCUCAUCCUACUUGGAAGUAAUACCAGAAAGCAGAUGCUUUAACUGAAUUAAUUUUUCACUUUGAAGCAAAAUUUGAGCUUAAAAAUAACAUCCUUAUAAAUCGGAAACAUAGUUGUUAAUAUAUGUAAUAAAUUCAUUCCUUUAGGUUAGUUUCCCUAUUUCUAAUGAACAGCAUUCAGCUUUGCAUAACCAUCAGGAGAAAAUAUAUGUCUCAGGAGCAAAAUGUGUUUACCUGCCUCUCCUUGACAGGAACAACAAUGUUAGACUCAUUAUCUUUAAGCCACCCUCCCAAAAUAAUGAACUCCAGGCAAUUGGGGCUGUGCAAGCAUCCAAAAAGUGAAGUUAGGAUGAAACUCUCAGCUAAGAGAGAUGGGCACUGCUCCAAUAUGAACAUAUAUUCAUUUGUAUCAUGUUUGAAAGCAAUAUGUUACAGCAGUGUACAUUACUACUUGUGAUUAUUAUCAACAUCAGCAUUUUACUGUAAAUAACAGAACAUGUUGAAUAUCUAAACCAAAAGGCAAAUCCUGAAAUUGUUUGUAGAUCUGGAUUUGACUGGGCAGCAUCGGUAGCAUGAACAAAGUCUCAAUUUAUCUAUAUGUGUACAUUCAGUAUUGUCCCUCCAGCAUGUGUGCUUAUGCAGGCAGACACACGUGAGUACAUACAGACAGAUGUGUCUGCACGUAUAAACCUUAACAUGGAAAAGCUCAGUGUUUGAAGAAUGGUAAAUGCCACAGCUAAGACACCCUGAUCAUUAGCACAUCAUGACGCAGUUUUCAGUAAUAGCUGAAUUUUCCCAGCAGCUCUGCCCCAUUCAAGAGAAAAGGAGUAGUGAGAAACUAGUCACUAUCAUUUUUUAUUGUCUGUGAGUGACUCUGUGAUUAGUUUACUACACAUUAUCCUCAUCUCGUCUUUAAGGAAGAAUUAUAACCUUGCUUGCCCACAUGUAGAGUUGUUUGAAAAUAUGAGACCUGAAAUUCUUCCUAUUGCAGAGGACGUUGAAGUGGAAUUUUACCUGGAACAUAAAGCAGAAGAGUCUCUUCUUACCUAGUUUUCCAUGUAUGUUUCCUAUCUCCACAUGCCUAAGACAAGAUCCGGUUUGAGGUCUUCUGUUACCCUUUCACCCAUCUUCCUGGCUAUGUGUUCUCUACUGCUCUCUGCUCCCAUAUAGUUCAUCUUAAAUGAGAAAAAAAGGUCAUCAGAUGAGCUCCAAGAGAUAUCAGCACAUCCUAGGAGACUGCCUUCUAGGGAGGAACUGCAUUAAUACUCAUGGUUCCAUCUUUGUUAACAUUUGUUUUUUCAACCUUACUAUCUUUCCAGUACUGAACUGUAUCAUGCAAUUUUAAAUGCUUUUCUUUCAAAGCAAGAGUUGCAUCACAAGGAAUCCCCGUGUCACACAAAUUUCCCAUUAUUUUGCACUUAUUAGCACUUUGACUACUUUAGCUAAGAUGUUCCUAAAAUUUGUAGCCAGGAGAGAUACCUAGCAUGGAAAUUUUCAAUUGGACCAGUUCAUAUUAAAUAGGAAAAAAAAAAAAGUAGGAAAUACAAAGUAAGGUCUUGUUAUAAGAACUUUUAGGGAAUCUUAGAGAAAGGAAAAUGAAAUACCAGUGCUAUUCAGUAUUUGUAUUUCCUGUAGUUACACACACCACAAAUACACCAGUAGAGACCCAGAGUUUUUGCUUGUUCCUGACCUAAAACAAAGACCAGAUGUGGAAGUCAAACCUUAUUCUUAUUGUUCUGUUCUGAGAGGGCACACAUUUGAUUCAUUAUGGGUCAAAUGGUGCUUUUAUUUACAUCCACACCAAUUUUAAGGAACUAUGCUAAUUAUAGGAGAGGUUGCUAUGUCUGAGUAUCAUUUGUUUUAGCAAUAAUCAAAAAGGAUAUGUGCUGCUACCCAAUGGAUUGCCACAAAAAAAAAAAAAAUUCCUUUCUUGAAGGAAUAGCACAAGUGUGACAAGGAAAUGUUCACUGAUACAUCUUUUACUAAUGAGCCCUACAAUGAAAACAAGAGAGAGUAAAGAUAAUGAAAUUUUUCAAUAGGCCAGCACCUGUGCAGAGCCCCUUCUGUUUUUUCCCACCUCAUUGAUGGCAAAAAAAAAAAAAAAAAAAGCCAACAAAACAACAGAACCACAGAUAGUCAAGAUCACCCCUUCCUUUGCUUUUCAUUGGAUAUGAACAGCAAAAAGAAGCUAUGUUGGCCAUAAACAAUGAGUGAAACUGCAUUAAUGGUAUGCUACAGAUAACACAAGCAAAAUUCAGGAGGAGCUGGCUAACACAUACACACCCCUUUUUGUGUUUUUUUUGUAGGCUUCAUUAAUUGUCAUCUGCUGUGUGAAACGCAAAUCUAAUUGAAAUUUCUCACUAAUCAAGUGCAUCCUUCUAAUGAAGGCGUAUGACAGUUGUGUUCUGUGCAAAGUGCUACCUAAUGUGAAAUUCAAGUAAACACUUUAAUUACUUUAAAAGCCUAUUAAGGCAGAUUUUUAAGUGCAGUAUGUGGCCAUUUGCAUUGUCACCUAAUUUGUACACAGGCAGAACUACAAACACAUAUUCAGUGUGCAGAUGCAAAUUCAGUGCUUAACGAACCAGGUCCUGAAAAUGAUUCUUAACUGACUGGCCAGCGCACGGAUCAAUAAUAAGGCCCAGGAAGCCCUUCAAUCCUGUAUUGUCAUUUCAAAUCCAAGCUAUAAGUGCUCAUCUACAAGGGCUGUAAAUUAUUGCUUUAUUAAAAUUUUGUGGGAGUGAUAAAUCUACCAUCUGAACACAGAGGGUCAGAUGCAGAUGCCCUGUUUGACUUUUCUCCUGUGCUCACUAUGAUGGCUUUGCUGGGCUAUGCCGUACGCUUGGAUACUCUGAUGUUGCAGCUAUGUCUGGAGAUGAGUACAUUCUCCACCCCCUCAAUGGAUGGAGAGAACUGCUCCCUGCAGCACUUCUGAUAGUUUUUGAUGUGUCCCAUCCAUAGAGAUGAUCAAGGUCAGGUUGGAUGGGCACUGGGCAGCCUGAUCUGGUGGGAGGCAACCAGCCCAUGGCAGGGGUUGGAAGUGGGUGAUCUUUAAGGUUCCUUCCAACUUAAACCAUUCCAUGAUUCUAUACUACAAGAUCCUUCCUCAGAAGCAAGGCAGUUUCAAACAGUUGUAAUCAUAGAAUCAUGUAAUAACCUGAGUCGGAAGGGACGUAUAAGGAUCACUGAGUCCAACUCCUGGAGUCCGUCAAGUCCAAAUCGCAGACAAGAGCUGCAGAUAACAAAAAAUUCCCCCUAGCUUCCCUAAUGCUGCUUUAGUCAUGGGAUAUGUAGCAAAAGAGUGAAGAAACAUGGGGAAAGCUCAGUGAGGAGCCAGAUUCAAGGAUCCUGCCUACUAGUUUCUUCUGAAUUUGGUUUCUGAAGAAAGUUACAAGGAAAUAGUUCUAGCAAGGGUUAUUUAGUCUUCACUUAGAGUUUACUUGUCUUGAUGAGGAAGCAGAACAAGGAUGAAAUCCUACUGAGACCACCUAGAAAUAGCUGAGCUUGGGCAAAAAGCUCAAACUGCCUCAGGUCUGUGUUCUGCUGUAUUUUGCUUGUUUGUUUGUUUUUAACUGAUAACCAUAAAUGCUAAAAGUAGGGGAAAUCUGUGUUCAGAGAGAACAUCUUCAUUACACUGAGGGAAAUUUCUUCAAUAUCAUGUUUCAUUUUUCUGCAUAGGCAGGAGGGGUGAGGCUCAAUACACCACCCUUAUAGCAAGUGAAUACCCCUGGUCCUUUCUAGUGUUUGUAAGAAAUAAUAGCAUGUGGUAUCCCUUAGGAUCUCCUCAGCAUCUCUCACUUAUUCACUCUACAGAAGCAAGAGCAGGAAAAUCAAGGUCACCCUGUUCAAGACCUCUAUUCAGUGUUCUAAGAUGGUUUGAAAUAAUUCAGUGUCUGGAAAACAUCUUCCUACAUUAAAGUUCCUGACAUUAUCUUGGCUUUUGUUUCUUUGUUUGUUUUUGUUUUUGUUUUUGUUUCAUUUUCUUUAUUUUCUGAUGAUGGAAAGAGCUGGAUUGCUUGUUUUCUGUCUGUCAGAAGUUCCUUCUGUUUCCACGCUCUGCUAGAUAAUAACCUCCUUAAUGCAGUCUGUAAUACAUCCUUAAUAUGGCUGUAAAACUGAAGAGUGGAAAAAGUGUCAACAAUAAAAAUUUCCAAAAUUCACUGUAAAUAACCCAUGAAUGUAUUCCUGCACCCCCACAGUCCAAAAUUUUUACCUAUAAGACAUCAUCUGCACACACAGACUUUUUGCCAAGAGGCAGCACAGGUCCAGGUGGAGGUUUUCUCCCUAAAACUGCCUGCUAAUAAGCUGCCUUCCUUCCCAAGUAAUGGUAACAUCGAAGACAAAUUGUCUUUGGCUUUUGAAAUUAAAAGGAACUAUUUAAAAACAGAAGUGCUGUUCCAAAGCAUUUGAAAGAUUUCAUGAAGCAAAUGUGUUUUGUUGCAUUUUGUUCAAAUUAUCAAACUCCUGCUCCAAAAUGCCAAAACGGCAAAGCCAUUUUCAUUGUCAGAUUGCAAAAUGCAAACAACUUUCUCUUUUCCUUGCUGAGGGGCCUAUUCUGCCAGCACUCUUCAGUAUGAAUGGAUUAAUUCAUUCCUCCACAAGUGAAGUUCACACACGGGCUGAGUAACAGAUAAUUGCCAACAUACAAGUGAGCUCUAUCCUGAACUUCUGAAUUAAAUAAUUUGUAGGGUAUGCAGAGAGGCAAACAUUGCCAUCGUUGCAAGAAUUCUACUGAAAUUGUAUUAUUUUAUCCUCUAAGCAUUAGUCUCUACAGCUACCUUUCCAUGAACACGCAUACAUGACAGUAAAAAUUAAGAGGUGCCAAUAGCCUUAGAAGAUUCUGGCUUCUAGGCUGACAAAGAUAAAGGAACCCAAUACUAAAGCAGCUGUUUCAUUAUAUGAUAUUACUUCAUUGCAUGCAUUGCUUGAACAACUAAGAUUUGAAAAUUUUCAAGCAAUAUGUUAUCUGUACUUCCAUAAGAAGAAAAAUAUUAACUCCAGGUUUUGCACCACAGACUGGAAAUUUCAACGUGGGUCUGCAAGCAGGACUCUUUAAUCUCAGAGGACAACUCUACUUGCUGAGUAGCUCUGAAAAUUCUGACUGCUACUACUGUUCAUCUUGAAGACUGUACAACUCUGAUCACCAAUGUGAUUUAUACAGGAAUGAGGUCUUCAACUGAAUACCUAACUUCUGUAGACCACACUUUUGAAUGUAUAAAUGUUCAGUGCAGAACACACCAUAAACCUCUUCUUCAGCUGAGAGCAGCCCUGUCAUUAGCCUGUCAAGACUAACAGUCGGAUUUGUAAAGACAUUUAAUAGUCAAUUAGCAAAAGAUACUGUUCUCAAAAGGUUCCGGGUGCCCAAUUUCUCUUAAAUC
ensembl:lncRNA